AUUGAACGCUGGCGGCAUGCCUUACACAUGCAAGUCGAACGGUAACAGGUCUUCGGAUGCUGACGAGUGGCGAACGGGUGAGUAAUACAUCGGAACGUGCCUAGUAGUGGGGGAUAACUACUCGAAAGAGUGGCUAAUACCGCAUGAGAUCUACGGAUGAAAGCAGGGGAUCGCAAGACCUUGUGCUACUAGAGCGGCCGAUGGCAGAUUAGGUAAUUGGUGGGAUAAAAGCUUACCAAGCCGACGAUCUGUAGCUGGUCUGAGAGGACGAUCAGCCACACUGGGAAUGAGACACGGCCCAGACUCCUACGGGAGGCAGCAGUGGGGAAUUUUGGACAAUGGGCGCAAGCCUGAUCCAGCAAUGCCGCGUGCAGGAUGAAGGCCUUCGGGUUGUAAACUGCUUUUGUACGGAACGAAAAGCCCUGGGUUAAUACCCUGGGGUCAUGACGGUACCGUAAGAAUAAGCACCGGCUAACUACGUGCCAGCAGCCGCGGUAA
rnacentral:rRNA from 1 species